CGUGAGCAAUCUGCCGAUCUCUGGGGGAUAGCCGGCCCAACGGCCGGGUAAUACCGCAUACGAUCACCGAGGGGAGUCCCUUGGUGAUGAAACCUCCGGGGGAGAUCGAGGAGCUCGCGCCCUAUCAGCUAGUUGGUGAGGUAAUGGCUCACCAAGGCUACGACGGGUAGCUGGUCUGAGAGGAUGGCCAGCCACAUUGGGACUGCGACACGGCCCAG
rnacentral:rRNA from 1 species